rnacentral:rRNA from 1 species
UACGUAGGGUGCAAGCGUUAAUCGGAAUUACUGGGCGUAAAGCGUGCGCAGGCGGUUUUGUAAGUCUGUCGUGAAAGCCCCGGGCUCAACCUGGGAAUUGCGAUGGAGACAGCAAGGCUUGAAUCUGGCAGAGGGGGGUAGAAUUCCACGUGUAGCAGUGAAAUGCGUAGAGAUGUGGAGGAACACCGAUGGCGAAGGCAGCCCCCUGGGUCAAGAUUGACGCUCAUGCACGAAAGCGUGGGGAGCAAACAGG